UCUCUCCAAGUUGGGCCAGUAUUUGGCCAUCUUAUGCGGCGGGUGACUAUGGUGUCCCAGUAAGUGGCUGACGUGGCAGGCGUCCCUGGAGUGGGAGAAGAGAUGGGAAUAUGUAUUACCUGAAAGCAGAGAGCAGUUGUUGCAUUGGAUCAUUCAGAGAGUAUGCAGCCACAACCAUGCCUUAGAUGUGUGUAAUUCAAGUGGAGAAGACACAAGCCAGUGGUUGCAAUAUCAUCAACACUUGAGUGUUCUGUAAUCGAUUAAUGUUUGCCAUGUGCAAGGAAAAGGCAGAGGCAAAAUGGCGUCGGCUUAUGGAAAAAUAAUUUACAAAAAAAAUGAUGGGA
rnacentral:lncRNA from 1 species